rnacentral:lncRNA from 1 species
UGAUACCAUGAUAACAAUCUGUCUGAUCCCAAAAGCUAAAGUUAAUAGUGAAAGGGUCACCAAUGUAUGUGAGACUUGAUAGACAACAUUAUAAAACUGACAACAUUUUCUUAGCAAUCCAUAUGCCCAUGUGAAAAUUGAGUAACUGUGUUAUAUAUUAUAGUUUUUUUUCCUGUCACUCUGCUUGUUAAGCUUGUUUAUGCAGACAUACUCUUGAGAUUGUUGGAAGAAAGUUUGUUUGUUAUUCAAAUUGAAGUCUGUUAUCAUGUUUACACAUUUUAAAACCAUUUGUCGACCGUGGUUGACAAAGAGGUGAAUGAGAG